AUUAUUCACUACAAAAUAUAAAUACAAUAUGAACUCAGUAUUACAUAGUUAUUUGAACAUAAGUAAAACCAUUAAAUCACGUCUAUGCUCUACGUCUUAAAACAUAUUUGAUGAAGUGCUAUGUAUUACGUACUCGUAUAUCACGUAUCAAAGAGAGUUUUAGGACUUACAUAUAACCGUAAUGUGUACAAAACUAUAAUACUCUCCUUAGCAACUUUGUUGCGAGAGUAUAAAAAUGCAUGCAUUUGUGAAGAGCACUUCUCGCCAGAAGCCUUCGAAAGAAACUUGCAGUUUGAAAUGGUCACAACGAAGGAGCGAUCACAGAAGAAGGAAAUGUUGAAGUCGACAACACACCAGAUUUGGAAGGGAAUUACUUAUCUCUAACCGGUAAUAUUUUUCAACGAGUGUCAGUUGAUCUAAAUUCCACUGACCCAAUUGAAAAAAAAUGAUGACUUGGAGAUUCUGAACAACGACGGAGUCUGCCACAAACUCGGUAAAGACAACCCCGAAAUUUGUGUCAAUUCAGAAAAUUGUUCGUCUUAUAAUUGGGUGGAUCACCUUUCUUAAGGAAGACUCUCAAAACCGAUGUAAAUGGUACUGAUUUGCAUAUAGUACAGUAUGUAACACAAUUGAGCAAAUAAAAUCAAAUAUUCCUGAUUUCAAAACUUUUUUGCACUACUCAACUUAUUACGAAAAGAAUAUAUACAUAUGCAUGCGAAUAGGUACACUAGUUGAGUUUUUUUCGCGGAAAUAUAACGGUACAAUUUCUCGAUAUUUUUCUGGCGGCGUCUGGUUUGCGCCACGUGCACAUUUGCUCAAUUGUGUAACAACAUCGGUUGCGUUCAGGCGUGUGAGCAUAGCUAAGACCAAAUAAACAACUUUCGAGUAUUUUAAAUACCAGUAGCAAGAUUUAUCAAUUAACUAACGUUUUCAGAAGUACUUUUCAUUUUAUAAACGAAAAAUUAAGAAAAUUGCUGAUUCUAUUAAAAAAUCUGUGCUUCAAUGGUUGAGUGAUGGGCUCUAAUAUCGGCAAGUUGCAAAUUGAGCUGAAAUUUCAUUUGGGUCAGUGAAAAAUAUUCAGUUCCAAAACAUCGAUCCGGUCGGCGCUCCGUUUUAGAUAACCACGAUAGACGAACAAUCAACCGUCUGGUUUCCUCUGGAGCAGUGAAAUCAGGUACUGAGAUUCAAGAAGAACUGGAGAGGACUUACGGAAAACAAGUUUCUCGCAUGACUGUACACCGCGAGUUGAAAAAACUAGGGUUUAAAGCCAGGCGCAAAAUUAAAAAACCUUUGCUUACUAAACGUCAUCAAGAACUACGUCUAAAAUUUGCUAAAGCGUACCGAAACUGGACUCCAGAAUAGUGGACGAAUAUAUUUUGAACAGAAGAAAGCAAGAUUAAUCUUCACGGGUCAGGCGGAAUACAUUACGUUUGGAAGAAAUCAUCAAAGACUAUUACCAGCCACGAUGUUAUCCCAACACUCAAAUUUGGGGGCGGAAAAAUCCUUUUUUGGGGUGGCUUUUGUAAAAGUGGUGGUGGGGACCUAAUUUUAAUCUAGUAAAAUAUGGACGCGAAUAUGUAUAUAUGUAGAUAUAUUAAGGCAAGAGUAUUUUUCUUCGUUGGAGAAUAAAUUUGUUACUCUUUUGUUGUUUUAUAUUAUAAAGGGCUGAAGAAUGUAUUUGAAAAAAUUGUAAUUCAAGUCGCCCAAAUUAAAUACACUUUUUUUUGUAAGAAUCGACAUUCGUGAUUUUAUUUGCUCAAUUGUGUUACAUACUGUAUGCACAAAUUACGUCCAGAAACACUUAGAUUUAAGUAAUUUUGUAAAUUGAUAGAUUUAAGUAAUUUUGUAAAUUGUAGCACCAAAGUAAAAAUCCCCA
rnacentral:lncRNA from 1 species